rnacentral:rRNA from 1 species
CCCUUAGAUGUUCUGGGCCGCACGCGCGCUACACUGAUGCAUUCAACGAGUCCAACCUUGACCGAGAGGUCCGGGUAAUCUUUGAAACUGCAUCGUGAUGGGGCUAGAUUAUUGCAAUUAUUAAUCUUCAACGAGGAAUUCCUAGUAAACGCGAGUCAUCAGCUCGCAUUGAUUACGUCCCUGCCCUUUGUACACACCGCCCGUCGCACCUACCGAUUGAAUGUUUCGGUGAAGAUUCCGGAUAGGACUUUUUUGAUUUAUUUCAAUUUUGUCUUAAAAGCUAUCUAAACCUCAACAUUUAGAGGAAGGUGAAGUCGUAACA